CGACAAAACAAUAGACAAACUCAAAAUGGGAGACAUUGGACAAGAUAACUGGCCAAACUCUUCCGAAGUGUCAAAGUCAUGAUGUCAAAGAGAGAGGGGAGACCUGAUUCCUGCUCCAGGACACCUCAGAGACAGGACAACUAAAUGAAAAUAACAGGCCAACCUCCCGAAGAUGCAUAAAGACACCUUUGCCGUUGACCAGGCAGACCCUGCAUCCACAGGACAUAGAGAGAAAGGUGCUCCCUGAACACUGAUCUGGAUAAGCAUUGCUGGGUCAGUGCAGAGGCGUCCAUUUCCCCAGUCUGCCGAGCUGGCCUAAAGCUGAGGACCUCUUAGUGGGAGCUGAGGACAUGUGCCUGAAGAGGCAAGCCCUUGACUGAUGGAAAUUGGAGUCUGAGUUCCAUGUGGGGGACUGGGAAGCACAGCAAGGUCUGAAAUGGGAGACCCAGGGAAGGGCAGAGAGGACCAAAGGAGGAAGGGGGUCUACAGUGUGGGAAACAGCCUGGACGCAACAGCCGGGGGAGGAGGCCUGCUCUGGCCCCAGUGGCCCCUUGUAAGCAGGAAAGGCAGCUGGCUAGACCUCUUCUGUGUUAUUCACUCUGAUUUUAUCCUUUAUCUUCCCCUCCCAACCUCACCUCCUUUCUAACCCCAAAGCCAUGCAGCUAAUAUGACUAAGAUUGCUGGGCGUUUGCUUGGAAAUGCAAAUGAGAAUUUCUGGUAGUUUCCUAGUUUCCUUGAUCUCCUUUGUCAAGUUUAUUGAGGG
rnacentral:lncRNA from 10 species